rnacentral:rRNA from 1 species
AGAGUUUGAUCAUGGCUCAGAAUGAACGCUCGGCGGCGUGCCUAACACAUGCAAGUCGAGCGAGAAAGUCUCUUCGGAGAUAAGUACAGCGGCGGACGGGUGAGUAACGCGUGAGAAUUUACCCUUUAGUGAAGAAUACCUCUGAGAAAUCAGGGUUAAUACUGCAUACGUCCCUACGGGGAGAAAGGUGGCCUCUUUGCUGCCGCUAAAGGAUAAGCUUGCGUACUAUUAGCUAGUUGGUGAGGUAAAGGCUCACCAAGGCGAUGAUGGUUAGCCGGCCUGAGAGGGUGUACGGCCACACUGGAACUUAGACACGGUCCAGACUCCUACGGGAGGCAGCAGUGAGGAAUAUUGCGCAAUGGGCGAAAGCCUGACGCAGCGACGCCGCGUGGAGGAUGAAGGUCUUCGGAUUGUAAACUCCUGUUAAGUGGGAAGAAAGACCUAUUUCUAAUACAGAUAGGGGAUGACGGUACCAUUAGAGAAAGCACCGGCUAACUUCGUG